AGGGUGCAGGGCGGAUGCCUUGGCACUAGGAGCCGAUGAAGGACGUGAUAAGCUGCGAUAAGCUUCGGGGAGUUGCACGUAAACUUUGAUCCGAAGAUUUCCGAAUGAGGAAACUCACUUAGAGUAAUGUCUAAGUAUCAUUAAGUGAAUACAUAGCUUAAUGAGGGGAACUCAGGGAACUGAAACAUCUAAGUACCUGAAGGAAGAGAAAGAAAUUCGAUUCCGUAAGUAGCGGCGAGCGAACGCGGAUUAGCCCAAACCAAUAAAGUUUUCUUUAUUGGGGUUGCGGACAUAUCAUAACGAAGAGGUAUCGUAAUUGAAGAGGUUUGGAAAGACCCACCACAGAAGGUAAUAGUCCUGUAUGUUAAACGAGAAGACUUUAGAUAUGAUCCAGAGUACCACGGGACACGUGAAACCCUGUGGGAAGCAGGAGGGACCACCCUCCAAGGCUAAAUACUACCUAGUGACCGAUAGCGUAUAGUACCGUGAGGGAAAGGUGAAAAGAACCCCGGGAGGGGAGUGAAAUAGAACCUGAAACCCUGCACUUACAAGCUGUGGAAGCACAUUUCUUGUGUGACCGCGUACUUUUUGUAGAACGGGCCAACGAGUUACGUUAAGUAGCAAGGUUAAGCACUUAAGGUGCGGAGCCGUAGCGAAAGCGAGUUUUAACUGAGCGUUCAGUUACUUGACGUAGACCCGAAACCGGGCGACCUACCCAUGAGCAGGAUGAAGCGAAAGUAAAAUUUCGUGGAGGUCCGAACCCACGAGCGUUGAAAAGCUCGGGGAUGACUUGUGGGUAGCGGUGAAAUUCCAAUCGAGCCCGGAGAUAGCUGGUUCUCCCCGAAAUAGCUUUAGGGCUAGCCUCAAGGUGAGAGAUACGGAGGUAGAGCACUGAAUGUCCUAGGGGGUAUUGCACCUACCGAAGACUAUCAAACUCCGAAUGCCGUCAUCUUAUACUUGGGAGUCAGACUGUGGGUGAUAAGAUUCAUAGUCGAAAGGGCAACAGCCCAGAUCGUCAGCUAAGGUCCCUAAAUGUAAGUUAAGUGGUAAAGGAUGUGGGAUUGCACAGACAACCAGGAUGUUGGCUUAGAAGCAGCCACUCAUUCAAAGAGUGCGUAAUAGCUCACUGGUCGAGUGAUCCUGCGCCGAAGAUUUCCGGGGCUAAAACUUACUACCGAAGCUACGGCAUCAGUAAUGAUGGGUAGGGGAGCUUCCCAUACGGGUUGAAGCAUGACCGUAAGGACAUGUGGACAGUAUGGGAGUGAGAAUGUUGGCAUGAGUAGCGAGAUGUGGGUGAGAAUCCCACAGGCCGUAAACCCAAGGUUUCCAGGGGAAGGUUCGUCCGCCCUGGGUUAGUCGGGACCUAAGCUGAGGCCGAAAGGCGUAGGUGAUGGACAACAGGUUGAUAUUCCUGUACUACCGAUAACCGUUUGAGAGAAGGGAUGACACAGUAGGAUAAGCUAAGCACACUGUUGGUUAUGUGUGCCCAAGCAUUGAGGCAGUCAAAGUAGGCAAAUCCGCUUUGAUAAUGCUGGGAUGUGAUGGGGAGCGAAAUUUAGUAGCGAAGUAGCUGAUUUCACACUGUCAAGAAAAGUCUCUAUCGAGGUUAAAGGUACCCGUACCGCAAACCGACACAGGUGGGUGAGGAGAGUAUCCUAAGGCCAGCGAGAGAACUGUUGUUAAGGAACUCGGCAAAAUGACCCCGUAACUUAGGGAUAAGGGGUGCCACCAUCAGGUGGCCGCAGAGAAUAGGCCCAAGCAACUGUUUAGCAAAAACACAGGUCUCUGCUAAAGCGAAAGCUGAUGUAUAGGGGCUGACGCCUGCCCGGUGCUGGAAGGUUAAGGGGAACACUUAGCGCAAGCGAAGGUGUGAACUUAAGCCCCAGUAAACGGCGGCCGUAACUAUAACGGUCCUAAGGUAGCGAAAUUCCUUGUCGGGUAAGUUCCGACCCGCACGAAAGGCGUAACGAUUUGGGCACUGUCUCAACAACAGACUCGGUGAAAUUGUAAUUCCGGUGAAGAUGCCGGAUACCUGCGACAGGACGGAAAGACCCCAUGGAGCUUUACUGUAGCUUGACAUUGGGUCUUGGUACUACAUGUACAGGAUAGGUGGGAGGCUUUGAAACCAGGACGCCAGUUUUGGCGGAGCCAUCCUUGGGAUACCACCCUUGUAGUACUGGGACUCUAACCAUAGGCCAUGAAUCUGGUCUUGGGACACUGUCAGGUGGGCAGUUUGACUGGGGCGGUCGCCUCCCAAAAGGUAACGGAGGCGCUCAAAGGUUCUCUCAGUACGGUCGGAAAUCGUACGUAGAGUGUAAAGGCAAAAGAGAGCUUGAUUGCAAGACAUACAGGUCGAGCAAGGAUGAAAAUCGGACUUAGUGAUCCGGUGGUUCUGCGUGGAAGGGCCAUCGCUCAACGGAUAAAAGCUACCCUGGGGAUAACAGGCUUAUCUCCCCCAAGAGUCCACAUCGACGGGGAGGUUUGGCACCUCGAUGUCGGCUCAUCACAUCCUGGGGCUGUAGUAGGUCCCAAGGGUUGGGCUGUUCGCCCAUUAAAGUGGUACGCGAGCUGGGUUCAGAACGUCGUGAGACAGUUCGGUCCCUAUCCGUCGCAGGCGUAGGAAAUUUGAGAAGACCUGUCCUUAGUACGAGAGGACCGGGAUGGACGUACCUCUGGUGUACCAGUUGUCCUGCCAAGGGCAUGGCUGGGUAGCUAUGUACGGAAUGGAUAAGCGCUGAAAGCAUCUAAGCGCGAAGCCAACUUCAAGAUAAGAUUUCCCACCGCAAGGGUAAGACCCCAGAAAGACUAUCUGGUUGA
rnacentral:rRNA from 1 species